GCCCAGAUAGCUCAGUCGUUAGAGCAUAAGACUCUUAAUCUCAGGGUUGUGGAUUUGUGCCCCGUGUUGGGUG
rnacentral:tRNA from 1 species